rnacentral:rRNA from 1 species
GACCUCGGAUCAGGUAGGGAUACCCGCUGAACUUAAGCAUAUCAAUAAGCGGAGGAAAAGAAACCAACAGGGAUUGCCCUAGUAACGGCGAGUGAAGCGGCAACAGCUCAAAUUUGAAAUCUGGCGUCUUCGGCGUCCGAGUUGUAAUUUGCAGAGGGCGCUUUGGCAUUGGCAGCGGUCCAAGUUCCUUGGAACAGGACGUCACAGAGGGUGAGAAUCCCGUACGUGGUCGCUAGCCUUUACCGUGUAAAGCCCCUUCGACGAGUCGAGUUGUUUGGGAAUGCAGCUCUAAAUGGGAGGUAAAUUUCUUCUAAAGCUAAAUACUGGCCAGAGACCGAUAGCGCACAAGUAGAGUGAUCGAAAGAUGAAAAGCACUUUGGAAAGAGAGUUAAAAAGCACGUGAAAUUGUUGAAAGGGAA